CAUUGUACGAUGUUAUAUUGGUAAUAAGA
rnacentral:piRNA from 1 species